rnacentral:rRNA from 1 species
AACGAACGCUGGCGGUAUGCCUAACACAUGCAAGUCGAACGAGACCUUCGGGUCUAGUGGCGCACGGGUGCGUAACGCGUGGGAACCUGCCCUUAGGUUCGGAAUAACUCCCCGAAAGGGGUGCUAAUACCGGAUAAUGUCUUCGGACCAAAGAUUUAUCGCCUUUGGAUGGGCCCGCGUUGGAUUAGCUAGUUGGUAGGGUAAAAGCCUACCAAGGCGACGAUCCAUAGCUGGUCUGAGAGGAUGAUCAGCCACACUGGGACUGAGGCACGGCCCAGACUCCUACGGGAGGCAGCAGUGGGGAAUAUUGGACAAUGGGCGAAAGCCUGAUCCAGCAAUGCCGCGUGAGUGAUGAAGGCCUUAGGGUUGUAAAGCUCUUUUACCCGGGAUGAUAAUGACAGUACCGGGAGAAUAAGCUCCGGCUAACUCCGUG